GGAACUUCCAUAUACCACCGGUGCGGCCUUAAAAAGAAAAAAAAAAAAGGCAAGCAGACUAAGGCCCAUGUUCUGGAGGCCACUCAGAGCCCUCCACAGCAUCUCGGAGGACUGCUUUCCUCCAGGGGAGUACAGAUCUCUCCCCACUUCUCUAGAGCUCCCUCGGGAGGCUCCAGAUUCCUCUUCACUGAUGAUUAGGCCGAGCAAGCAGGUGGGCUCCCUCUUCGUCUCAGUCUCCCUAUCAGGCUAAGCUCGGGCCUCCCUUUCUCAUCAAAAAGCUACCAAGAUUAGUCACCAAUCCAAGAGGGGAAUUUUUUGACCCCCCUAGACAGUAUCAUCCACAGAUCCUGGAAACAGAAGCCCCUGACCUGAGCUUGUCUUUUUAAGAGGUUCCCACACAUCGCACACACAGACACACUGAGAUUCUGCUAACCACUCAUCAGAAUGGAAAAAAACAAGAACCCACCAAUCCAAACCCGGUUUUCUGACUCUGAUGAUGUGACUACACCCUGCCCAAGAUGCAAAUGGAUCUUCAAAAAGAAGCUCAUGUUUUAUUAAGCAUCUUACUGCUUUGGUGUCUCAGACUGUGCCUGAGUGAUCAGUUCUCAGGGAGAGAGGACAGUGAGAGAGGCCCAGGACCCAGAGAGAAACCCUCACUGCUGCAGUCAGGCUGGCUUGGGAUGGGUGGAAAAUUCACUCAUUCUGCUAUCCCAGUAGGGCACCUAUUACGUGCUGGGCAGUGUUCUAAAAACUAAGGGAAAGGUAACAACAAGUGAUAUUAAGUCACCGCCUGGAUAUUGCUGUUGUUCUUUUCACUGGGAUGUUCCAAGAGAGUGAAGCAUCUUUACUUUUUUUUUUUUUUAAGCUCUCCUCACCUUCCUCACAAGCCCCUCUCCACCUGCUGGGAGUUGUGGACACUUAAAUUUGCUAAGUAAUGAUACUCAGCCUCUUCCCACUGAACAGCUCAAAUCUUCAGAAUCCUUCUCUGUUGUGCAGGCCCAUCGGGGUCUAUUGCAAGAGCCAAGCUGGGGGGGUCGAGGGGAAGCUUUGGUGCCAUGGGCUUCCUUGAGUCUGGCUGCUGCUCUGGUGGGACAAAAUGAUCUCCUUCCCGAAGGCUAAAUAGGUAAAGAGGAAAGCACCCCCACCCCUUCACUUUGUCCCUGUGAUGUUGUCUUAGUGAAUGGAGGUCACCACCUGGAGGCCUCACUGCCACCUGCCCCUCUCUUAUCCCUUGUUCUCUUCAGUCAUUCACUUUCUUUUACUUUCUUACCUGAACAUCCUCUGGUCCCCCUCCUACUGGAUUUGGCCUCUUUUCCCCAUUUGUCUGGGGCUAUAAUGGUGAAGUGACUUCCAGGUAGGGUUGACUGACGUACAAAUACCUUUUCAGUAGGGGUUCCCACUGUGGCACAGCAGGGUAAGGAUCUGGUGUUGCUGCAGCUGUGGCAUAGGUUGCAGCUGCAGCUUGGAUUUGAUCCCUGGCCUGGGAACUUUCAUAUGCUGUGAGUGUGGCUAGAAAAAAAAUUAGUAUAAGUUAUGUUCUCUGCAGUAUUUGGGAUCUGAUUAUACUAAUAAAUUAUUUGUUACUUAUCUGAAAUUCAAAUUUAACUACUGUCCUAUAUUAUACCUGGCAAUCCAACGUCUAGGAAACUUGACUGUGGAGGAGAGGAAUGAAAAACACAGCUAUUUAAUAUUUUCAAAAUACUAUGCCUGACAGAAGGCUUUGUCCUUGCUGGCCUCUUGGCUGGACAGACUUAGAGGGGCCUCAGAAAGAAGGAGGCUGCCCCGUACCUCCUUCCUAGCAAGGGUUGCUCCCAGCUCCUCAGAGGAGCCCAUUGUGUGUGUUAUAUGAAGAAAGUGGAGGAGAAGGUGAAGCAACCAACCUUGGCUUCCUGCCCUUCCCCACCCCCCAGUCACAGCCGGCAGGCUUCCCUGGGGUGUGGGGAGCCCCAUCCUGCUGGCAAAGCUAUUGCUUACCUAGAACUUUUAUGAGGACAUUUUUAUUGAGCUGUAAUUGAAAAGAAAAGAAAACUCUAAGACAUUCCAGAUUUUUCUCAGAAGCAUAUUUUAGGCGUGUGCGUGUGUGUGUGUGUGUGUGUGUGUGAGUGAGAGUGUGACAUUUAAUUUUUCUCUCCUCUUCCCUAAAUUAAGGACCAGAAUAAAGAUGAACUGAGAGUCUGGAGAGCCUGUAAAACUCUUUUCAUUAAGCAAAUAUUCUCGUGUUUGGAGAACCGGGGUUUUAUGUAAGAGGGCUGCGUUUGCCGUUACAGUCUAAUAUCCUAAUGUAAGGUUACAACCAUUUCUAAGAAACCGGUAAUAGAAUGCAGAGCCUCUUAAAUAUGUAAAACUACUUGGCAAAGUUUAUAAAUCAUAUACAUCUAUUUUAAAGAAUGUGAAAGUAAAUCCAGAUGACGGCCUUUUAGAAACAGGCCUGUUGUGACCACCUCCCUGUGCCCACUGCUUUUCUGAGAGGCUGCAAGAAAAAAAUUACGUCUCUCUCUUGGGGUCUGUGUGACCAGUCCUCCUAUCUCCCACCUGGGAAAGAUGGAGAGCUUUCUUCCCAAGCCCCUGGCUUUCUCAGCAGGAAGGAAACACAUGCAAGCAUUUCUUGAGGACCUACUAUGUGUCAGGCACGGGCUGCUUCUGUCUCCAUCCUCACAGCAGUCCUGCGCAAGGCUGGGAUCCAUCCCACUUUUGACACUUGAGGAAUGUGAGGUUCAGAGGAGCUGACUAUCUGUCUGGGCUUGCAAAGCCGGUUAAAGGAUGGAGUCCAAGAUUUAAAGAGGCAGCAUUGUCAGCGCUAUGGCUCAGGUCGCCACUGUGGUGCAGGUUCCAUCCCUGACCUGGGAACUGCUGUACACCGCAGGUGCAGGGGGAAAAAAAAAAAAAAGAUGGAAUCUGAAUGAAAACCCAAGCCCACAUGUGUCCAAGACUCCUGCUAUUCCAGCCACCCAGCUCAACAGUGGUAUAUGUUGUGAUCUCCCCGCCUGGAGAUGUACUGCUGCUUCUCAGGAGGCACCAGAAGGCACCAGGAUGCACAAAGCUGGACUGAGAGUGAGUGGGAUCAGGCCAGCCCCUGUGUGUGGUGGCUGUUUUGGGACAGGACUGCAUCCACUGACCUGUUGUCCUGCAAAGAAAAUCAUUCUUGUCAGGGCAUGCCUGUGGUCUGAGUGAAAUUCAGGAAAUGAAUAGAAGAGGUUCCUUGAGGUGCUCAAAGACAAAACUAUCAAGUGACCUCAGGGAUUCACACACUAGAAAACAAGGAAUCUCCUGGAGAAUGGGAAUCCACCAUGACUCUGGUGACCAGGUCCGUGUGGGGGUCUCAUCCGGUACAGGCUGCUCCUCAGCCUCCAAGGCUCUGGCUCUACGGGGACCCGGUCCUUCUCUGCUUGGCUUCUCAUCUCCCUGUGACCACCACCUGAAUCCCUAUGCUUGCCCAGGGCAAGAUCACCUAUCAAUGGCAGCCUCUUACAUCAGACCACCCAGGCCUCUGGCUGCCUGUGGGUCAGGAGAUGAGUAGUUAAGACCCACUUGGCUGCAAGUAACAGAGACUUGAAAAAUAGUGGCUUAACCAAGGAAAAUAUUUCUUUCUCUCUCAUGUAAAGGAAGUGUGGAGGCCGAGUAGUCCAGGACUAGAGGGAAGUCCAGCCAAUGCCAUUCACUCUCUAAGUGGCACCAUGGAGAGGAGGGGGUGGGGGGAACAUCCUUUGUAUGCAUCCUUUCCCCUUUAAAGAGACUUCUCAGCAAUUCCACACAA